GCUGUCUCGUUCAGGGAAGUAUUUAAUUCGGUUUUUGUAUUUAUUCACUAGCUUCCUAUUAAUGGGUAUAUUUGGAGGAUAUUUGUUUUUGGGGUUUUUUUAUCCCUGUUUCCCCCCUCUCUUUUCCUUUUUUCCCCCCAGGAGCUCCCUAUCGUGUGUGCAAUUUAUUCAAAUUAUACAUAUAAUUGUAAAUAUAUGUGAAUAUAUAUUUUUGAUACAAUUCCGUUUCGUUUGGGCUUCUUUCGGUUUUUCUGUGGUUUGUUUGUUUUUUCCCUUGCUUGAGAGAGCGGGAGGGGGGAGGAGACAGCUUGGACUCAGCAAGAGAGCCAGACCAAACUUACACAAUGUAGUACCCUCAUCAUCGGUUUGUGACAGUCCUGACUGUUAGCCAAGCUUUUGCAUGUACGUGACCCUAAAUUCCCUCAACUGGUACAUCAAACUCAGUGUAGUUACAAUGACCUAUAUUUAAUGCAGAGUUUCUCCAAGAAAGCAGUACCUUGCAUCAUCCCCGAAACAUGACAGUGCUUCUCAGUGGGAACAACUUCAAACAAUGAAGAAAGAAUAACUGCAACUUUUGAAAAAUCCAGGUUACGGUUUAAACAACAGUUCUUCAUACUUAAGAUGCUUCCUUAACACUCUUUGCUGCUGUUCUCACCAGUGCCUCAAUAAUCUUUCUUGGGAUCAGACCUGUAGAAUUUAGCCAUAUAGUGAUGCUGCUUCUAGAAAUAAUCCCUUAUCAGCCCAUCUGGAACAGUACUCAAACGCAGAAUAAGAUAAUAUCUGUAUCUGAAAUAUUCAAUUCCAAAGAGACUUUGAAUCCAAGUGGAAACAGCUGCAUAGCCAGAAACAUCCAAGUAUACUGACUAAAUACUAAUCGUGUACUGGAAGCGUACUGUUUUCAGUGAGAAUAACAUGAAUGCAAUUCAUUAAUAUUCAUGAUUACCACAUGUAUUAUUAGUAUAAUUAACCUCAUUCAUAUAUCCACAGGCAUGGAUUUGGAUAGGUGGACUACCCAUU